UACAGUGUGGUUUAGUGGUCUGAGUGUUGGACUACAACUCUGGAGAACAAAGUUCAAAUCCCUGCUCAGUCA